rfam:Dipodomys ordii contig_60221, whole genome shotgun sequence.
GGUGGCUCAGUGGUAGAGCAUUUGCCUUGUAUGCCAGAGGCCCUGGGUUCGAUUCCUCAGCACCA